rnacentral:rRNA from 1 species
AAAGAUUAAGCCAUGCAUGUCUAAGUAUAAGCAAUCUAUACAGUGAAACUGCGAAUGGCUCAUUAAAUCAGUUAUCGUUUAUUUGAUAGUACCUUACUACUUGGAUAACCGUGGUAAUUCUAGAGCUAAUACAUGCUAAAAACCCCGACCUCUGGAAGGGGUGUAUUUAUUAGAUAAAAAACCAAUGCCUUCGGGCUCCUUGGUGAUUCAUGAUAACUUUACGAAUCGCAAGGCCUUGUGCCGGCGAUGGUUCAUUCAAAUUUCUGCCCUAUCAACUUUCGAUGGUAGGAUAGUGGCCUACCAUGGUUU